ACAAAAAUGCAUAUGUUGUGAGUUCGAUGAGUAGGGCGGGACACGUGACAUCCUGUCUGAAUAUGGGGGGACCAUCCUCCAAGGCUAAAUACUCCUGACUGACCGAUAGUGAACCAGUACCGUGAGGGAAAGGCGAAAAGAACCCCGGCGAGGGGAGUGAAAUAGAACCUGAAACCGUGUACGUACAAGCAGUGGGAGCACCUUCGUGGUGUGACUGCGUACCUUUUGUAUAAUGGGUCAGCGACUUAUAUUUUGUAGCAAGGUUAACCGAAUAGGGGAGCCGUAGGGAAACCGAGUCUUAACUGGGCGAAUAGUUGCAAGGUAUAGACCCGAAACCCGGUGAUCUAGCCAUGGGCAGGUUGAAGGUUGGGUAACACUAACUGGAGGACCGAACCGACUAAUGUUGAAAAAUUAGCGGAUGACUUGUGGCUGGGGGUGAAAGGCCAAUCAAACCGGGAGAUAGCUGGUUCUCCCCGAAAGCUAUUUAGGUAGCGCCUCGUGAACUCAUCUUCGGGGGUAGAGCACUGUUUCGGCUAGGGGGUCAUCCCGACUUACCAAACCGAUGCAAACUCCGAAUACCGAAGAAUGUUAUCACGGGAGACACACGGCGGGUGCUAACGUCCGUCGUGAAGAGGGAAACAACCCAGACCGCCAGCUAAGGUCCCAAAGUCAUGGUUAAGUGGGAAACGAUGUGGGAAGGCAUAGACAGCCAGGAUGUUGGCUUAGAAGCAGCCAUCAUUUAAAGAAAGCGUAAUAGCUCACUGGUCGAGUCGGCCUGCGCGGAAGAUGUAACGGGGCUAAACCAUGCACCGAAGCUGCGGCAGCGACGCUUAGGCGUUGUUGGGUAGGGGAGCGUUCUGUAAGCCGUUGAAGGUGACCUGUGAGGGUUGCUGGAGGUAUCAGAAGUGCGAAUGCUGACAUAAGUAACGAUAAUGCGGGUGAAAAACCCGCACGCCGGAAGACCAAGGGUUCCUGUCCAACGUUAAUCGGGGCAGGGUGAGUCGACCCCUAAGGCGAGGCUGAAAAGCGUAGUCGAUGGGAAACAGGUUAAUAUUCCUGUACUUGGUGUUACUGCGAAGGGGGGACGGAGAAGGCUAGGCUAGCCGGGCGACGGUUGUCCCGGUUUAAGCAUGUAGGCGGAGUGACUUGGUAAAUCCGGUUGCUUAUCAACGCUGAGGUGUGAUGACGAGCCACUACGGUGGUGAAGUAGUUGAUGCCAAGCUUCCAGGAAAAGCCUCUAAGCAUCAGGUAACAUUAAAUCGUACCCCAAACCGACACAGGUGGUCAGGUAGAGAAUACUCAGGCGCUUGAGAGAACUCGGGUGAAGGAACUAGGCAAAAUGGUGCCGUAACUUCGGGAGAAGGCACGCUGGCAUUAGGUAAAGAGACUUGCUCUCGGCGCUGAAGCCAGUCGCAGAUACCAGCUGGCUGCAACUGUUUAAUAAAAACACAGCACUGUGCAAACACGAAAGUGGACGUAUACGGUGUGACGCCUGCCCGGUGCUGGAAGGUUAAUUGAUGGGGUCAGCCGCAAGGCGAAGCUCUUGAUCGAAGCCCCAGUAAACGGCGGCCGUAACUAUAACGGUCCUAAGGUAGCGAAAUUCCUUGUCGGGUAAGUUCCGACCUGCACGAAUGGCGUAAUGAUGGCCAGGCUGUCUCCACCCGAGACUCAGUGAAAUUGAACUCGCUGUGAAGAUGCAGUGUACCCGCGGCAAGACGGAAAGACCCCGUGAACCUUUACUAUAGCUUGACACUGAACAUUGAGCCUUGAUGUGUAGGAUAGGUGGGAGGCAUUGAAGUGUGGACGCCAGUCUGCAUGGAGCCAACCUUGAAAUACCACCCUUUAAUGUUUGAUGUUCUAACUCGGCCCCGUAAUC
rnacentral:rRNA from 1 species